UUUUCUGAGACACGUGGUUAGCGGUCCUAACAAUUAUGGAGAUGGUGCGUUUGCUGUUGGUGGAGGUGGCGAUGAUGUUGUUGCGAUUCCUGAAUCUUCAAGUUAUGAAGAUGGUGCGUUUGCUAUUGCUGAAGAAGCUACCAUUGGGCCUCUAGAUGCCUCAUCCAAUACUGCACUUUCUAUCGAUUUAAGUGAUUGUGCUAAUUAAUGCUUCCACUAGCACAAGAAAGAAUUUUCAACAAACGUUUUUGGGCGGUGGCUGGAAAUGUUUACCUGGCUGGAAAGUAGGAGUGGCAAAAGCUUUUGGCCCUUACGGAUAAUAAGAUUGCACGUAUAAUAGAAAGUUGGGACCAAAAUGAAGAUAAGUUUCUUGAAGAGGAUGAUGACACAAAUUUUGAAAUCAAUAUAUGCCGGUGCGAAAAUAAUGAAGAAUUGACAGCGGAAGAAAGUUCUUGUGUGGCAGAAAACACUUUUGCAGAGAAAAAUGCUAAUACGAAUACUCCAAUUUGUACGCUUGUCAAAGAAAUCCUGAAAAAGCGGAGCAGAUUGAUAAAGAGGAUUUGUGAAAGUUUUUGGGAAUAUGCGUCAAUAUGUCUGUAGUUCAGAUCCCAAACAUUCGUAGAUAUUGGACACCCAUUGCAGCAAACAAAUUGAUUCAAGAAACUAUGUCUGUUAACAGAUUUGAAAAAAAUUAAUUCAAUAUUGCAUUUUAACAAUAAUGAUGAUAUGAAACCAAAAGAUGAUCCACAUUUUGACAGACUUUUUAAGCUUCGUCCAAUUGUAAAUCAUUUGGUUAAAAAAUUCAAAUCAGUUCCACUUGAAAGCUGUCUCUCUGUAGUUGAACAACUAUGUUCCACCAAAUGCAAAUCAUAUUUGAAACAGUGGGGAACAGAAUUCCAAAUUUGAGGCUUCCCGAUGAAAAAGCUAUGAUAAAGAAAUCACGAGGAGAGUCCUGCGAAUUUGUUGCAACCGUGGAAAAUUUUGAUAUAUCUGUGGUUUCUUGGAGAGACAACAAAAUUGUAAAUUUGAUGUCAAACUAUUGUGGGAAGGCUCCUGAAAAGCAGUUGAAAGAUUCGACAAAAAGUUGAACAGAAAAGUAUCCGUUGCUUGUCGAAACAUAGUUGCAGAGUAUAAUAAGUUUAUGGGAGACGCAGAUUUAUUAGACUCAUUUAUUGGUCGAUAUAUAAUCAAAAUACGGUGUAAAAAAUGGUACUUGAGGCUCUUCAUUCACUUGCUAGAUACAGCCAUUGUAAAUUCUUGGUUAUUAUAUAAGCGCGCUGAAGCCCAGAAAGGUAACCCCAUAAAAGAAAAUUCGGCAGAUUUUCGCUUAAAAGUAGGAGAAACCCUGUGCAAAAUGGGAGAAGUUUCGACACCAAGCGGUAGACUUUCGGAACUUAUGAGAAAUCUGGCUCUUAAGGUAGUGCAUUUUUGAAGUCUCAUAUAUAAUUUUGAAACAAACGAAUUUAUUUAUUUAUGCAGAGAAAUCACCAGCGAAGUUUACCUAUUCCUGAAAAUAAAGUGCGUUUGGACCAUACGGAUCAUUGGCCAAAGUGGGUAGACAAUCGCGUAACUCCCAAAAUACCAGGUUGCCGAGGAUAUACCUUUGUAAAGUGCGAAAAAUGUAACACAAGUGUUUGCUUUAACAAACCAAGAAAUUGUUAUAAAAAAUUUCGUUUCGAAUAAAUAUGAGAACGUUUUUUUUAAAUUAAAUCUUAUGUUAUCGCUACAAAUUAAUGUGAUGUAAUUAAAAAGAACAAAUUAUGUAAAUGGAUCACUACGUUGUUUUAAAAAAAUUUUACCCAAUAAAAUACGAGUUAGUAAAAAUUU